GCAUUAGUGGUCUAGUGGUUGAAUAGUACCCUGCCAUUGUACAGACUCGAGUUUGAUUCUCGACUAGUGCA
rnacentral:tRNA from 1 species